GUCGGGAAACCGGAAAACGCUUCCAAUGGCUGUGUUUCCGGCGGCGGCGCGGGGGCAGCUGGGAAUCCGGAAUGCUGCCCGAUGGCCCUGGGUCCUCGCUGUGGGGCAAUCCGGGCUUGCAGACGAGGUAAGGUCGAUUCCAUUUGGCCCGGGGAUGGUCACACGCGCGGGGGCCGCAACUGCCGUCGCCGGCGCGGUCGUUGUCGCAUUGCUCUCGGCCGCACUCGCGCUGUACGGGCCGCCACUGGACGCAGUUUUAGAAAGAGCAUUUUCGCUACGUAAAGCACAUUCGAUAAAGGAUAUGGAAAAUACUUUGCAGCUGGUGAGAAAUAUUAUACCUCCUCUGUCUUCCACAAAGCACAAAGGGCAAGAUGGAAGAAUAGGCGUAGUUGGAGGCUGUCAGGAGUACACUGGAGCCCCAUAUUUUGCAGCAAUCUCAGCUCUCAAAGUGGGCGCAGAUUUGUCCCACGUGUUCUGUGCCAGUGCGGCCGCACCUGUGAUUAAGGCCUACAGCCCGGAGCUGAUCGUCCACCCAGUUCUCGACAGCCCCAAUGCUGUUCGUGAGGUGGAGAAGUGGCUGCCCCGGCUGCAUGCUCUCGUCGUAGGACCUGGCUUGGGUAGAGAUGAUGCGCUUCUCAGAAAUGUCCAGGGCAUUUUGGAAGCGUCAAAGGCCAGGGACAUCCCUGUUGUCAUCGACGCGGAUGGCCUGUGGCUGGUCGCUCAGCAGCCGGCCCUCAUCCAUGGCUACCGGAAGGCUGUGCUCACUCCCAACCACAUGGAGUUCAGCAGACUGUAUGACGCUGUGCUCAGAGGCCCUAUGGACAGCGAUGACAGCCAUGGAUCUGUGCUAAGACUCAGCCAAGCCCUGGGCAACGUGACGGUGGUCCAGAAAGGAGAGCGCGACAUCCUCUCCAACGGCCAGCAGGAGGCUGCCUCCAACCCUUGGAACAAACAGGGAAGAGCCGUAGCAGGCAGGAUGUGAGUGGAGCCUCAGGCUGCUCCUGGAGGGUGUGGCUCUGCCUGCCGUGCGGCCUUCCACACCCGUGGCUACUGUCACAUUCACACACAUGGCCAUGCUGACACCUGCUCUCACUUCUGCCCUGUGCAGUGCUUGUGUGCAGCCAGGAAGGCAGCAGCCGCAGGUGUGGAGGGCAAGGGGACCUCCUGUCGGGCUCCCUGGGCGUCCUGGUACACUGGGCGCUGCUUGCUGGACCAGAGAAAACAAAUGGGUCCAGCCCUCUCCUGGUGGCCGCGUUUGGCGCCUGCUCUCUCACCAGGCAGUGCAACCACCAAGCCUUCCAGAAGCACGGUCGCUCCACCACCACCUCCGACAUGAUCGCCGAGGUGGGGGCGGCCUUCAGCAAGCUCUUCGAAACCUGAGCCCACGCAGACCAGAAGUAAACAGGCACCUUGGACGGGGGAGAGCGUGUGUGUGAUGGGAAAAUCCGGACCCACGCGUGUGCUGAAGGCGCACGGUGCUUGCCAGAUUUUCAACUUGAGCAUAAAUUGGUUGCCGUUGAGAAUUUAAGAAUCUGGAAUAUUGCAACUUUCGGUUAAACUUAAUGCAUGGUUGGAGAUGUUAUGGCGACACUAAACAAAGUAUUCCUGAACUUUCCUUAGCUCCUUGGUAGUAACUGGGAAGACAGAAAUGAAGAAAAUCACAUGAGAAUGAAGAAUUCUUUAGCAGCUCAACAGAAUUUCUUUCUCGGCCUGCUCCCAAAUCGGCGAAGUUUCUACUUGUUACUCUCUCUGCCGACGCCCUUCAUUUCUCCCCCGCUUCCCUUCCCUAGUCUUUCCUCCGGCAGGGAGCUGGGCAGGGGUCCCCGGGUGUCUCCCUGAGUCCCGACUGCACUGACUGGGUCCAUCAGAGGGCUGCUUCGUUCUCCAGCUCAUCUUCUUUUAAAGUGGUGACUAGCUUGGUGGUAUCUGGCUGCUGGUAUUUGGCUUAUUGACAUACUCCAGGGUAAUCAAUGAUGACUUUGUUGGCAACCCUUUUGGAGGCACCAUGGGAACAGAAGGAAACAUGAAUGAUGCUGACCCUUGAGUGUGUGGGUGGGGAGCUCUGAGACGCCUCCUGUCCCACGCUCUCCGGUGUCCCUGUCUACACAGGGGUCCCCAUGAUACCCACCAGCCCCAGCAGGGCAGACCGGACCGGGGACGGGCACGGUGAAGGGCUGCAGCCUGGGGUCUGACGUGGCCCCUAGUGCUGUCUCAGGAGAAGGCUCUGGAGGACUUGGGGCAUGCUGGGCCUGGUGCAGUGAUGGCGCUAAGGAGACCCGGGGAAAGACAGUAUCGUGGUCACGUACGCUUAGGAAGCAGCACAGCCAUGUCCUCAGGGAUGUUCGCGUCCAGUAAAGACACUGGUAACUGCAGUUUCAGCAAACACGCUUCAUGGCAGUGUCGACCUCGGGUUAGCUUCUGUUGUCUUUGUGGAUGGUUUUCCUGGAGCGGCCUGACAUUGACGUGUUCUCUGGUCCCAUGUCUUAGCGGGGCGUGGUACGGUUUCGUGCCUGACGCGUGCAUUAGGGUGUUCUCUUAUACUUUCAGUAGCGUCUUUCCACAGCAAGGGCAAACCCUCCUGGUUCCCUUCAGAGUCUUUUUGGCCUGAUGAUGACUCUUGAGUGAUACCCUGUGAUGCAGACAUGCCCCAGAUGGAUUCUACUUUCUUUAAAACUAGGAACUUUCAAGAUUAAAAAAAAGAUUGUCACUACUAAUUUGACACCUAACUUCAGAAGCUUCACUGUCUACAUGUGAACUUUUCCAGAAAAACUGUGCCAUGGACAUUUUUCCACUGGGGAAUUAACAUCUAAAUUCUGGUAACUAUUAAAAGACAGAUCUGGUUAAUUUAAA